GAUGAACGCUGGCGGCGUGCCUAAUACAUGCAAGUCGAGCGAACAGACGAGGAGCUUGCUCCUCUGACGUUAGCGGCGGACGGGUGAGUAACACGUGGAUAACCUACCUAUAAGACUGGGAUAACUUCGGGAAACCGGAGCUAAUACCGGAUAAUAUAUUGAACCGCAUGGUUCAAUAGUGAAAGACGGUUUUGCUGUCACUUAUAGAUGGAUCCGCGCCGCAUUAGCUAGUUGGUAAGGUAACGGCUUACCAAGGCAACGAUGCGUAGCCGACCUGAGGGGGUGAUCGGCCACACUGGAACGUAGACACGGUCCAGACUCCUACGGGAGGCAGCAGUAGGGAAUCUUCCGCAAUGGGCGAAAGCCUUACGGAGCAACGCCGCGUGAGUGAUGAAGGUCUUCGGAGCGUAAAACUCUGUUAUUAGGGAAGAACAAAUGUGUAAGUAACUAUGCACGUCUUGACGGUACCUAAUCAGAAAGCCACGGCUAACUACGUG
rnacentral:rRNA from 1 species